GACAGGAAGUGGUCAAAAAUUCAGACUCCAUCUGGGCUGAGAUGAGCAGAACUCAUACUUCCUCAGGGUCACCCCCACCCCCCACUGCUCCAUUUCACCCUCUUAACAUUACCGGCUCCAUUUUUAUUUUCCAUUCACAGAUAUUAGGUAGAUAGAACAUACCAAAUUUAUUAACAAUAAACAUUCUUUAAGGAACUUCAUUUCGAUACAGCAACUCUCUUAAAUUCUCUUUCAACUAAAAAGUACAUAAAUCUGAACAUGAAUGAAUGACCACAAUAGCCAUCUAGUCUAUAACUAUUGACCUGGAGUCAGAUAACCUGGAUUUGAGUUCUGGGUGGGGAAGCCAGGGAAGGAGGGUUCACAUGUGUUGACUGUGCUUGGCUCCAUCCUAGGUGUUUGUACAUCUCAUCUCAGUUCCUCCUCAUGUCUCCAUAGGGCAGAUAUUACAUGUUGCCUCCAAUUGGGUAGAGCGAGGCCGAGUGCUUUGAUGUGACUCACUCCUAAGUGACAGUGCUAGCAUGGGCACUUGAAUGUGCAGGUCCACCACCCCUGGUCCAUUACAACAUACAUUCUCCGGAUCCAACACUUAACUGAACUCUUUGCAUGUUAGUCCCUUCCUAUGUGGAAGGGGGUAAGCAUGCUGUGGUACCUACCUCCUGAGGGGUUCUGGGAAUCACAUGGAAUGUAAAGUAACUGUGAAAGCCAUUUGCAGCUCUGCAAACACAGAGAUGAUUAGAACGAACACUCGGUUUUAUUAGCCAUCGAACCCAGACCCAUAUUCCCCCCUCUUCCUUCUCCCUCUCUUCUUUCCGUUUAUUCUUCUAACCCCCUUCACCUCCUCCCUCCACAGUGAGAAAUCCUUCUUUCUGUCCCUUUAAAGUUGCCUGAUGGCAAGACUGAGCUUAGACCCUAGAAUGUACCCUCUUUCUCUCUGCCUAGCUAGUCUUUUAACUCACUGCAGUAGGGCUUUCCCCCCCUGCCCCACACUCUGCUGAAACCACCAAGUUCUUCACAAGCACAUUUGGCACCUUUGCCCCAUCCCUUCCUCUGAGGGGAUGAUGCCAUGCAGGCUGGUGUCCUUUUUCAGUCAACAACUUGUGCAACUGGCUUUGACCAAUGAACGCAGCUUUGGCAAGGUCAUCAAGGACCUCCUACAGGCAAAAUCCAAUAAACACUUUUCAGACUUCAUCUUGAGUUCUUUUUGAUUUUGGACACGGUUGAGAAUUCCCUCAUAGAACCAACCUCCCUUCCACAGUGAAGCUGAUAUCGAUGUUACUUGUUUCUCCUCCUGAAGAUCUCAUAUUUUCUCUCAGUCUCCUUCAUGGGCUCUUCUUCCGGGAGCUGCUUCUAGGUUCUAUCUGUCUUGAGCUCUCUUACUUCUCACGCCGCCCCCUCCUCCAACUGUUUUUGGAAAGGCUUCAAGAGUGAUCAGACGUAAAACCUGAAUCCCUUUAGAUGUCUCACAGCGCCUUCCUGGUGACUUUAUUCCCUGGGUCCUUGUGGGCAGUUCUCCUUUGAAUGACCAAAUGCAUGCAUGGGCCAGUGAAAAAGCAGGUCUUCUUCGAGAAAGUUAAAGGGCAGUUAAAGGUCAUUCCCACAAGGUUCGCUUUUCAGAGACCUUCAGGCUCUCUGGAGGAGCAUAGCAUUAGCUGCUCUCGGCUAGGCCUUGUCGAUGUCCUUCGUCUGUGACCUUGAAAUCUGUGUGGGAUGGGCUCGUGCCUUCAUUGCCACACUCCAUGAAAAUCUUCUUCCGCCCCAAUAUCUCUCAUACCCAGGGCUCGUUCCUUCUCUUUGUCAUCUGGGUGCAGGAAUCUGCCUCAGUGACUUCCACUGAAUCGACAGACCCCUGCUCUGAGCAUCUGUGAGUGUGGUGGACUUCACUAGAAACCGAGGAGGGGAUGGCACAGGUGUUCCUAAUGUACUAGGGCAGUAAGGUCAAUGCCAGUUUUAAGAGGCCCUCCAGGCACCCUGUCACAAGAAGGGGACUUUCCACUGGUGACUUUCCCAGGGACCCUCCACCCCCUUACCACCUCUCAGGCUCCUGGCCUCCUGUCCUCUGUCUGCUCUCACGCAGAGCCCUGGGGCCAGGCCCUGUUAUACUGGCUGCCUUCCUGGCGAUUGCCUCCCUAGGAUGCCUGCCUGUGGGGACACCGCUGAGGUUCCAGUUCCCUUGUUCCCAUGAGGAGGGCAUUGCAUGCUUUUAGCAUUUGAUGGGACAUUGUGGAGUGAGGGGAUCUUAAGAUUCCUUGACUUCUCAAGACCCAGCUUAGCUCAUCCUUAAGGAAGGAAGCCGCAGAAGCAGAGCGCCAGGCUUCUUGCAGGCCCUACAUUUCUGUGACUUUUCAUUUCAUCUGAGGUUGGCUUUGAGAACGCAAUCUCCUUUUCUUUUUUUAAAACAGUGGAUUUCAUCAUUUUUAUUGUUUUUUUGCUGCAAAGGCUGUUUUAGGUCAUCGCAGACUACUAAACCAGUUGUUUAGUGAUUUAUAAUGAUUUAGGAAGCUUUCUUCUACUGCCAAUAUCUUUUUAAAAAAUUGCAACAUAACUGAUUUACAAUGUUGAGUUGGUUUCUGCUGUACAGCAAGUGGUUACUUUUAAAUAUAUUGAAAUUUAUGUGGUACACCAGUAUAUGCUGAGGAUUUUUUAAAAAAAUUUUUACUCUAUUUUAAAGAGGAUGGGAGUAGUUUGACUGCCCUUGACUAUGACACUGGCCUAAGCUAGCAGGACAGAGAACCUACAAGGAGAGAGAGGCUGGGGAGAGGAGAGACAUGAGUGAACAGCUCUCCCUGGGCCCCUAUUCUCAGAUGCUCAUGUCCUGGGAGGGACAUCAGGUUUGACUGUCCAGCUCUUACAAAAGGUGAGCUUAACCCUGAUCUUUGAGGGAAAUCCAACAGUCUAGGGGAUGUAUUAACUUUGUUCUUUAUUUCUUUUGUCUUUUUGCCUUUUCUAGGGCCGCACCCACGGCAUAUGGAGGUUCCCAGGCUAGGGGUCGAAUCAGAGCUGCAGCUGCCAGCCUACCCCACAGCCACAUCAAUGCGGGAUCCAAGCCGUGUCUGCAACCUACACCACAGCUCACGGCAAUGCCGGAUCCUUAACCCACUGAGCAAGGCCAAGGAUCGAACCCGCAACCUCAUGAUUCCUAGUCGGAUUCGUUGACCACUGAGCCACGACGGGAACUCCUUAACUUUGUUCUUUAAAUUCCCUCCUGUAAGUUGGCUCAUCCACACACUUGGACCAUAUUAUCUUAGCUUCCUAUAGGAAGGUUCUUACUAUGCAUUGUCAGUUUGCUUUACCUUAUCCUUUUUGGAAGGAUCGCUGUUAGAAAGGUCCACUUGCAGAAUGUUUUUGUGUUGUUUACUUCUUUUAAAAUAUACAUUAUUUUAGAAUGUUUUUUGGUUUACAGAAAAACUGUGAAAGUAGUUUACAGUUUCUGUACCCCCUGCAUCCAGUUUGACCUACUGUUAACAUCUUACGUUGCAAUAGUACAUUUGUUACAAUUCAUGUACCAAUACUGUAGAGCAUUAUCAACUACAGCCCACUCUUUUCCCAUAAUUCCUUAGUUUUUACCUAAUGUCUUUCUUUCUAUUCUAAGAUCUUACCCAGAUGACCAUAUGCACUUAGCUGUCGUCUCUCCAUGUCUCCUUAGACUCUUUGCUAUGACAAUUUCUCAGAAGAAUCCUCCAGGCAUUCAAACAAUGUUUGUGCAUGUAUAUAUACAUUUAUAUCACCAAUAUGACCGCUGUUCAGCCUCAGAAGGAGAAUACUGGUGACAUGAUUGAAGCUCUGUGUGUUCCCUGCUCUAUCCCAGUCUCCUUGCUGCUCUAAAGACAGCCAGUAUCUUAAAUUUGGUAUUUCUGUCCCAUGCAUGCUUCGAAACAAUUAUAUAUAGUAUUACUUUGCAUAUUUUUAAAUUAAAUUUAUUUUUUACUGGGUAUAGUUGAUUUACAUCUUACGGUCUAUCCUGAGAGACUGGAUACCAUUCCCUGUGUUUUGUAGUAGGACCUCAUUGCUUAUCCAUUCUAAAUGUAUUAGUUUGCAUCUACUAACCCCAAAUUCCUAGGCAAUCCCACUCCCUCACCUUCCCCUAUGGCAACCACAAGUCUUCUCCAUGUCCAUGAGUCUGUUUCUCUUUUGUAGAUAGGUUCAUUUGUGCCAUAUUUCAGAUUCCACAUAUAAGUGAUAUCAUAAGGUAUUUGUCUUUCUCUUUCUGACUUACUUCACUCAGUAUGAGAGUCUCUAGUUAUAUCCACAUUGCCGCAAAUGGCAUGAUUUCAUUCUUUUUUAUGGCUGAGUAGUAUUCUGUUGUGUAUAUGUACCACAUCUUUGUGAUCUGUUCAUCUGUUAAUUUCAUUCUUUUUUAUGGCUGAGUAGUAUUCCAUUGUGUAUAUGUACCACAUCUUUGUGAUCUGUUCAUCUGUUGAUGGACAUUUAGGUUGUUUCCAUGUCUUGGCUAUUGUGAAUAGUGCUACAAAUGUUAUCCUGUAAACAUUGUUCUGCAGAAUUUCUUCUGUCAUACAUUGUUGAUCGAUGUUGCUCCAAUUUAUCUUAAUUUCUGAGUCAUAUUCUAUUGUAUUAAUCCACUCUCCUAUUGACAUUUUGGUUUUUUCAUUUUUGUUGUUGCCAUGGUCAUUGCAAACAAUGCUAGGCAGACAUGCACAUGUGUAUACAGCCUACCUUAGGGUUUGAGGGGGAGGAUUUCUGGAUGUGUGUCAGAGUUUUAUCUUUGACAAAACAGUUUAUCCAUUCAUUCAUUCAAUAAAUACAGAUUGAACACUUUUACAUGGGUCAGAAACUGGACAAGACUCUGACGGUAAAUAGAACAGAAAUAACCCCUCCCUCCUCAGGGGUUUACAGUAUUAUUUGGCAGGAGAAACAAAAUAAAGAAUUCAUUAAAGAUAAGCAUGAACUACAUAGAUGUAUUAUAAAAAUAUAGACCAAUAAUUAGUGUUGUAUGCCAUGAGAAAAAAGAUAAGGGUUAGUGAGAGAUGGUGAAUGUUAAUAUUUAUCUUGAUAUGGUAAUUUACCAUAGAAAUUCCCUGCAAGGAAAACACUACUCUCUUCCUAAAUUUAUGUACUUCCUUUCAUCUAAAAAUGGAAGCAAUGUAAAGCAAAAGAUUUCCCUUUUUGUCUUAGCUACCGAGAAUCUCACAUUUAAAUAUAAUGCCCAGCUGCAGUGCCAGGCACAUCCCAGUUACCUUUAGUUAUGUUUGUGUUUUGGCUUUUUAAAUAAAGGGUUUUCUUUUAUUUUGAAAAGCCUUGUUUCACAUUCUCAAUCUUUUUUUUUUUUUUUUUUUUUGUCUUUUUGUCUUUUUCUAGAGCCGCACCUGUGGCAUAUGGAGGUUCCCAGGCUAGGGGUCGAAUCAGAGCUAUAGCCGCUGGCCUAUGCCAGAGCCAUAGCAACUCGGGAUCCAAGCUGCAUCUGCGACCUACACCACAGCUCACGGCAACGCCAGAUCCUUAACCCACUGAGCAAGGCCAGGGAUCGAACCCGCAACCUCAUGGUUCCUAGUUGGAUUCGUUAACCACUGAGCCACGAUGGGAACUCCUACAUUCCCAAUCAUUUUGGAAGUAACUAAGGUAUAGAUCUUAGAGGGAAGGUAAGAUGCUGGUCAUCCCUAUUUCUACCUUUUCAUACAUAAACAAUCUUCCUUUUCGGGGGCUUUGCAGGGUGUGUGUAGAGGUCUUGCUGUACUAGCGUGCUUGUUUGAUUUCAAUAUGAAUUCUCCAAAUUAAUUGACUAUCCAUCAACAGGCAGUUUGUUCCCUAAAUACUUCACUUAGACCAUGCUUCUUCUGUUUAAUCACCACCAACACACACACAAACAGAACUCCUUAGCAAUUCCACUUGGCUCUACUGCUAUCUUUAGGAACAUUUGUCUUGUCUUAACUACUCUCCUUGUAGUUAAGACAUCUAGUUUUCUGUGACAUUGUUUACUUUCAUUAUGCCUUAAUUAUGGGAUUCUGAUAACCAUGGAGGAGUAGAGAGACAAUAAAUGGGGUUUUGUGGGUGAUUAAAUGCUAAAGCAAAGCUGAGAUGUUUGAUAACCACAACAGUUGUUUCUGCAAGUAUAUUCCAAAAACAGGAAUAUUAUGGUUAUUACACAACAAG
rnacentral:lncRNA from 1 species